CCCUCCCCUAAAUCACUCCAAAAAAAACAAUCCCCAAUUCUACACAAGUGUUUCUACACUAACAAAGCAACAGCUCCUUAACGAAUUCCCAACUUUACACGAGCUCGUCUCUCGAGGUUAAAUGUUAUUACUUGGUAAGAUUCCGGACCUCGCCAAGUGUUUUGAAAACCCGCAACGCUCGCAAAGGUGGAUAGUGAGAAUAAUAAGUGAAGAGACAGACUUGUCCAAAACGCCCACCACGAAGGUGCAUAGUGAGAAGAGUAAGUCAAGAGAUAGACUUGUCCAAAAAGAAACGGAAGAGAAAGCGUGGGGAGACGCUCACGAAGGUGCAUAGUGAGAAGAGUAAGUCAAGAGACAGACUUGUUCGAAAAGAAACAGAAGAGAAUGCUUGGGGUUACACUCACGAAGGUGCAUAGUGAGAAGAGUAAGUCAAGAGACAGACUUGUUCGAAAAGAAACAAAAGAGAAUGCUUGGGGAGAUAGAAGUGUGAGAUAGUUCUCAAGCUAAGAAAGUUGUAAAAGCUAAGAACUAGCAUCAAAUGAUGGAUGAAACACAAGGUAGUUGUUGAGAAGUCAAACACUUGGUGAUAUGAACACAAACGUUCAAUAUGACAAACCCAUGCCAAGUAAAGAGAAAAUGAAAACUGGUGAUUGUUGCGGAAAUCGUCCAGGAUUCCUCGACCAGGACUUGAAAUCGUCGAGGGAAAAAAUCGGUUCCGAGGAAUCGUCGAUCCGGACUUGGAAUCGUCGAGAAAAGUUUACCGGGUCCGAGGAUUUGUCGAC
rnacentral:misc_RNA from 1 species